GACGAACGCUGGCGGCGUGCUUAACACAUGCAAGUCGAGCGGUAAGGCCCUUUCGGGGGUACGACGAGCGGCGAACGGGUGAGUAACACGUGGGUGACCUGCCCUCAGCUCUGGGAUAAGCCUGGGAAACCGGGUCUAAUACUGGAUAUGACUCCAUGACGCAUGUUGUGGGGUGGAAAGCCUUGUGCGGCUGAGGAUGGGCCCGCGGCCUAUCAGCUUGUUGGUGGGGUGANGGCCUACCAAGGCGACGACGGGUAGCCGGCCUGAGAGGGCGACCGGCCACACUGGGACUGAGACACGGCCCAGACUCCUACGGGAGGCAGGCAGUGGGGAAUCUUGCGCAAUGGGCGAAAGCCUGACGCAGCGACGCCGCGUGAGGG
rnacentral:rRNA from 1 species